UACGUAGGCAGCAAGCGUUGUUCGGAAUUACUGGGCGUAAAGAGUGUGUAGGCGGUGCUCUAAGUUCGGUGUGAAAUCUCCCGGCUUAACUGGGAGGGUGCGCCGGAAACUGGAGUGCUUGAGCGCGGGAGAGGAAAGCGGAAUCCCUGGUGUAGCGGUGAAAUGCGUAGAUAUCAGGAGGAACACCUGUGGUGUAGACGGCUUUCUGGACCGCAGCUGACGCUGAGACACGAAAGCGUGGGUAGCAAACAGG
rnacentral:rRNA from 1 species